AAAUUUGAACUUGCAUGUCAUUUUUUUUUCCAAUAAUACGCUUUGCCUGGGAUCAAUUGUAUAAAUAAAACGUACUGAUUAAUGCCUCAGUCAAUUAUCGCGCAGGUGAAAACAUAUAACUAUACAUCAAAGUAAAUGUACUAACUGCAUUCUACGGAUUCAGCGUGUCCUCAAAGUAAGAUGGCGAAAGUGUUACUCAAACAUGGUCCUUUUAUUGUUAGGUGAGACGUAACUAUCUACACGGACAAGCAUUUGAUCCCUCUCAUCAGAGAGCUGGAAUCUGCUGGUUUUGUUGUAGUACCGAUGAAGAGCACAAGGAAAGAUGCACUGGAACUUGUUAUUAACGAUAAACUGGUAUGGUCGCGCAGUCUCAAUUUGUUUCAAGCAGUUGCAAGGAAAAAGAAUGACCCUAUGAUACGAGAUGCAAUUAAAGCAUGUGCAUCUGCAACUGGAACUGCGAAGGGUUAAGUUAACUUUGUCAAGCCGACAUAUAAAAUGAUUAAGAAUUUUCCAUCAGGUCGUCUACUUUUUCUCUACGGCGCAUGAGGAAGCAUCAGCCACAUUGCAACGAACAAACUGUUAUGCUGUUAAAUGAAGUACAACAGUCAUCAACUGCUAGUAAAUCUUAAACGUGUAGAUGAUGACAUGUCCUCCUGAAACCAGCUGCAAUAUGCAAAAAUGAUGCUAACACUCGUGUAACUAGAAUAAAAAUACCGGCCUUUAGUGCAUUUGUACAUGUACGACAAUUACAAACAUUUUCAAUUUUUAGCAUCCCAGAAUUCCGAUUGUUUGUCUUGUGUGACAUAUAUGAUUUAAUUAAAAAACAACAUAACUUUGACAUAAUUAAUGUUAUGACGUGUUUGUUAGAAACUAUUGUUAACAAAUACUGAUGUUUGCUUAAUUAUGUUAUCUACAGUUUUGUAUUAUUUUUAAAAUAUCCGAUUAAAUGCUAAUUAUUCUC
rnacentral:lncRNA from 1 species